AAAUUGUAAUGGUUGUAAGAUUGCAGAAAGUUUUAUUAGAUACUCUGUUUUUUCGAAACAAAUGUUCGGUAAUCUGGUAUCUGCGAAAUAAAUUUGACCGUUUUUCUGUUUUUCGCGGUAAAUGUUCGGUAAUCUGGUAACUCAGAAAUAAAUUUGACCGUUUUCUAUAUUUUCAUUCGCGCUCUUUUUGAACAUGGUAAGGGAUACAUACUUUAUUUUAGAUUAGUGAGAGGUUUCGGUAAGUGUUUAUCAAAUAUUCAGUUUUUCGCUUUAAAUUUCGGUAAUCUGAUAUUUAAGAAAUAAGUUUGACUUUGUUCUACAUUUUUUGGUUUCGUUUUGUCUUUCGCGCCAAUUUUUGGUAUUCUGGUAUCUGAGAAAUAAGUUUGACUGUUAAUUUUAUUUCUUCACUCGAGGUCUAGUCUUUUUUUUAAAAGAGUAAUAAUAGUCUGGUUUUGAUUAAUGAGAGCUUUUAAAUAGUCUUACUAGUUACUAGAUACCUUUUUCGCACC
rnacentral:sRNA from 1 species